rnacentral:rRNA from 1 species
UCUCACGACUUGCGAGAUUGCAAUGAGCACAAUUUAAAUCUCUUAGCAAGGAACAAUUGGAGGGCAAGUCUGGUGCCAGCAGCCGCGGUAAUUCCAGCUCCAAUAGCGUAUAUUAAAGUUGUUGCAGUUAAAAAGCUCGUAGUUGAACUUCUGGGCGUUCUCACAGUGGCUCCGGUCGUUGUGAGGGCGUUCAUCCGUCUGAGAACUAUAUUCGGCCUUCGCUGGUCGGUAUAGGGAUCAGGCAUUUUACUUUGAAAAAAUUAGAGUGUUCCAGGCAGGCAAUCGCCUUGAAUACACAAGCAUGGAAUAAUGGAAUAGGACUAUGAUUCAUUUUGUUGGUUAUUGGAUCAUAGUAAUGAUUAACAGGGACAGUUGGGGGCAUUAGUAUUUAAUUGUCAGAGGUGAAAUUCUUGGAUUUAUUAAAGACUAACUUAUGCGAAAGCAUUUGCCAAGGAUGUUUUCAUUAAUCAAGAACGAAAGUUAGGGGAUCAAAGACGAUCAGAUACCGUCCUAGUCUUAACCAUAAACUAUUCCGACUAGGGAUUGGUUGGGUUCCUUCAGCCCAAUCAGCACCUUAUGAGAAAUCAAAGUCUUUGGGUUCCGGGGGGAGUAUGGUCGCAAGGCUGAAACUAAAGGAAUUGACGGAAGGGCACCACCAGGAGUGGAGCCUGCGGCUUAAUUUGACCCAACACGGGGAAACUCACCAGCGCAAAACAUGGGUGGGAUUGACAGAUUGAGAGCUCUUUCUUGAUUCUAUGGGUGGUGGUGCAUGGCCGUUCUUAGUUGGUGGAGUGAUUUGUCUGGUUAAUUCCGUUAACGAACGAGACCUUAACCUGCUAACUAGUCUCUUCAUGUUAAAUGGGGAGGACUUCUUAGAGGGACUAUGAGUGCAAGCUCAUGGAAGUUUGAGGCAAUAACAGGUCUGUGAUGCCCUUAGAUGUGCUGGGCCGCACGCGCGCUACACUGAUACGUUCAGCAAGUUUUAUCCUGGUCCGGAAGGAUUUCGGGUAAUCUUUGUAAAGCGUAUCGUGCUGGGGAUCGAUCUUUGCAAUUAUAGAUCUUGAACGAGGAAUUCCUAGUAAGUGCAAGUCAUCAGCUUGUACUGAUUACGUCCCUGCCCUUUGUAUACACCGCCCGUCGCUCCUACCGAUUCGAGUGAUCCGGUGAACCUUCUGGACUGCUGAGGUCUCGGCUUCGGUGGAAAGUUAAGUAAACCUUAUCACUUAGAGGAAGGAGAAGUCGUAACAAGGUU